GGCGAGUAUAAAUGGGUAUAAUAUAUUAUGGAUUGAAAACCAAAACAUCUAUUAUUACGCAAUGAAAACGGCCGCCAAGCAGGUUUGGGCGCACAAUGUAUUGUGGUUGACAAUGACUCUUUAAAUUAAGUCUACAAUACAUCGAUCAGUACAUCCAUGCAUAAAAGUAUCUUAAUAUCGUCAAUUCCAAAGAAUCAAGGGCCAGCUCUUUCAGAAGUGGGCCGGGAUUACAAGAUCACAGGAAAACUCCUAUUGUGCAUGCAGAACAUAUACAUGUAUUUUACUUGUGCGAAUGAUGUUUUUGUGAUCAUGAGUUAAAAAUCAU